CGUGCAGGCGGUCUAGCAAGUUGGAUGUGAAAGCUCCCGGCUUAACUGGGAGAGGUCGUUCAAUACUGUUAGACUUGAGAAUGGGAGAGGGAGGUGGAAUUCCGGGUGUAGUGGUGAAAUGCGUAGAUAUCCGGAGGAACACCAGUGGCGAAAGCGGCCUCCUAGACCAUUUCUGACGCUAAGACGCGAAAGCUAGGGUAGCAAACG
rnacentral:rRNA from 1 species